rnacentral:rRNA from 1 species
GACGAACGCUGGCGGCGUGCUUAACAUAUGCAAGUCGAGCGGAAAGGCCCUUUCGGGGGUACUCGAGCGGCGAACGGGUGAGUAACACGUGAGUAAUAUGCCCCUGGCUUUGGGAUAGCCACCGGAAACGGUGCUUAAUAACGGAUACGACCACUUCUCGCAUGGGAUGGUGGUGGAAAGUUUUUCGGCCAGUGAUGUGCUCGCGGCCUAUCAGCUUGAUGGUGAGGUAAUGGCUCACCAUGGCUUCGACGGGUAGCCGGCCUGAGAGGGUGACCGGUCACCCUGGGACUGAGACACGGCCUAGACUCCUACGGGAGGCAGCAGUGGGGAAUAUUGGACAAUGGGCGGACGCCUGAUCCAGCAACGCCGCGUGAGGGAUGACGGCCUUCGGGUUGUAAACCUCUUUCAGCAGGUACGAAGCGCAAGUGACGGUACCUGCAGAAGAAGCACCGGCCAACUACGUGCCAGCCGCCGCCGUAA